AACAUGAAUCCAUAUGUGUAACAGGCUAGUCAUAAUGUUUACCUGUAUCAAUUUGAUUAAAAACAAAUACAUGCAUGAUCAUAGAACAGAUGCUUUAUUGUUGUUAAAAUCAUUCCAGUAUGUGUGAAUGUUAAGUUUUUUUUAAUACAUGUACAAUGAAUAGCAGAAAAAAUAUCUGAAAGUUGUAUGAUGGUGUAAAUGGAUCGAAGCCUCAUUCUGAUAAAAUGCCAGACACAAAUUACAUGAAAGAAAUAAGUUUUCAGUGCUAGAACAUUAUUUAAAACAUCCACGUUAAAAUACUCAAAAAUACUUGUGUGAGCUUUUUGAAGAAAUAUUCUCUUUAUAUUUGCAUGCCUUAAUUCUAAUCCAUUAAAGUGUUUCAUAGUUUAGAAUUAUUGUCUAGAUAGAUACAGUGUAAGGAAGAAAGUGAAAUAAAUGUGUUCAUGAAUGAAAAUUGAUUGAUGUUGUUCAGAGUUGUUGUGACAUGUUUGUAGAUAACAGAAUGAUAUGAAACUGUGCUGCUACAGCAAAUCAGUGCAAUUGUAUUAAAUGUGUUUACAAUG
rnacentral:misc_RNA from 1 species